rnacentral:rRNA from 1 species
UACGUAGGGUGCAAGCGUUAAUCGGAAUUACUGGGCGUAAAGCGUGCGCAGGCGGUUGUGCAAGACCGAUGUGAAAUCCCCGGGCUCAACCUGGGAACUGCAUUUGUGACUGCAUGGCUAGAGUACGGUAGAGGGGGAUGGAAUUCCGCGUGUAGCAGUGAAAUGCGUAGAUAUGCGGAGGAACACCGAUGGCGAAGGCAAUCCCCUGGGCCUGCACUGACGCUCAUGCACGAAAGCGUGGGGAGCAAACAGG